GCUUUCGUGGUGUAGUGGUCAGCACGCUCGGCGCGUAUUCUAGAGGUCCGUGGUUCGAGUCCCAGCGAGGGCA
rnacentral:tRNA from 1 species